rnacentral:rRNA from 1 species
UACGGAGGGUGCAAGCGUUGUUCGGAUUUACUGGGCGUAAAGAGCGCGCAGGCGGUCGAUCAAGUCGAGUGUGAAAGCCCCCGGCUCAACUGGGGAGGGUCAUUCGAUACUGAUCGACUCGAAGGCAGGAGAGGGUAGUGGAAUUCCCGGUGUAGUGGUGAAAUGCGUAGAUAUCGGGAGGAACACCAGUGGCGAAGGCGACUACCUGGCCUGUUCUUGACGCUGAGGCGCGAAAGCUAGGGGAGCAAACGGG